UACGUAGGUGGCGAGCGUUGUCCGGAAUUACUGGGCGUAAAGGGUGCGUAGGUGGAAAUUCAAGUCAGAUGUGAAACUCCCGGGCUUAACCCGGGAACUGCAUUUGAAACUGGAUAUCUAGAGUGCAGGAGAGGAAAGCGGAAUUCCUAGUGUAGCGGUGAAAUGCGUAGAUAUUAGGAAGAACACCAGUGGCGAAGGCGGCUUUCUGGACUGUAACUGACACUGAGGCACGAAAGCGUGGGGAGCAAACAGG
rnacentral:rRNA from 1 species